rnacentral:rRNA from 1 species
CAGCAGCCGCGGUAAUACGGAGGGUGCUAGCGUUGUUCGGAAUCACUGGGCGUAAAGGGCGCGUAGGCGGCCUGUUAAGUCGGAUGUGAAAGCCCUGGGCUCAACCUGGGAACUGCAUCCAAAACUGGUGAGCUAGAGUACGGUAGAGGGUAGUGGAAUUUCCUGUGUAGCGGUGAAAUGCGUAGAUAUAGGAAGGAACACCAGUGGCGAAGGCGACUACCUGGACUGAUACUGACACUGAGGUGCGAAAGCGUGGGGAGCAAACAGGAUUAGAUACCCCCGUAGUCCCUGUCUCUUAUAC